AGCUUUGCGCAGUGGCAGUAUCGUAGCCAAUGAGGUUUAUCCGAGAUGCGAUUAUUGCUAAUUGUAAAAUCUACAAAUUUAAAACUAGAUAUGAAAAAGUAAAGGUUUGGGUACAUACUUAGCAUUCUAGAUGACCUGGA